AGGUCAAGUGAAGAAGGGCGCACGGUGAAUGCCUUGGCACUGGAAGCCGAUGAAGGACGCGACUAACCGCGAAAGUCUUCGGGGAGCCGUAAGUAGGCUUUGAUCCGGAGGUCUCCGAAUGGGGGAACCCAGCAUGUGCAGACAUGCUAUCCUUAAGUGAAUACAUAGCUUAAGGAGGGAACACGCAGUGAACUGAAACAUCUAAGUAGCUGCAGGAAGAGAAAGAAAUAUCGAUUUCC
rnacentral:rRNA from 1 species